GCCCUCAGUGAGUACAGGCCCACCAGGCCAGCACAGGCCUGGAAACUGCUCCCAGCCACCGGCUGCCUCCUCAAAGGGAAUGGCUCUCCUGGAUGAUCCAAGAAUAAGCAGCAUGUGAUUUGUCAUUGCUGCUGCUGUUACUGCAGUUGCUGUUGCCAGGACCAAACACCUCUGGCACAGGUCAGACCUUUAAUACCUUAGCUGUUACCUUGGGGAGAGCUAUUCAUCAAGAGAAGAAGGUGCCAUGGGGACAAGGCACAGGAGAGACUUCUGGGCCUCAUUAGUCACUACCUAAGCUGCCCUGACAAGUGGAUAAAAGGAAAGAAGACCUCUUUUAGGCAUGGAGGGAAAGUGAGACUUUGGAGCUUUUGCCUAUUCCAGAGAAAAUCAAUAGCUAUCGCGGGGAUGUUGAAGCCACAGAGGGUUCCUUCCGUUUCCAUCGCAGCUAAUUACGAAAGGUAAUUGUUUAAACAUGGUGAAGUGUUUUGACCUGAAUGAUAAUAUUAUUCCAGGCAUCCUUUUUGUUUUCCCACAUCUGUGCUAGCCAGAGGGGAAUCUCAUCACACUCUGCACAGCUCCAGACACUCCACGGAGAGGAAGACGGACAGGCGG
rnacentral:lncRNA from 1 species